rnacentral:rRNA from 1 species
CCUGGCUCAGAUUGAACGCUGGCGGCAUGCCUUACACAUGCAAGUCGAACGGCAGCGGACCUUCGGGUGCCGGCGAGUGGCGAACGGUGAGUAAUAUAUCGGAACGUACCUUUCAGUGGGGGAUAACGUAGCGAAAGUUACGCUAAUACCGCAUAUUCUGUGAGCAGGAAAGCAGGGGAUCGCAAGACCUUGCGCUGAUUGAGCGGCCGAUAUCAGAUUAGCUAGUUGGUGAGGUAAAGGCUCACCAAGGCGACGAUCUGUAGCGGGUCUGAGAGGAUGAUCCGCCACACUGGAACUGAGACACGGUCCAGACUCCUACGGGAGGCAGCAGUGGGGAAUUUUGGACAAUGGGCGCAAGCCUGAUCCAGCCAUGCCGCGUGAGUGAAGAAGGCCUUCGGGUUGUAAAGCUCUUUCGGCCGGGAAGAAAUCGCACAGGUUAAUACCCUGUGUGGAUGACGGUACCGGAAUAAGAAGCACCGGCUAACUACGUG